UUUAUCCUUAGUUUCAGCAUUUGUCGUCUUUAGAUUGUGAGUCGUGUCAGUUUGCUAAACAUCAUCGUCUAUCGUUAAUUGACUCUAGCACUAA